UGAGGAAUAUUGCCCAAUGGACGCAAGUCUGAGGCAGCAACGCCGCGUGGGCGACGAAGGCCUUCGGGUUGUAAAGCCCUUUUCUGGGGGACGAGAAAGGACGGUACCUCAGGAAUAAGUCACGGCUAACUACGUGCCAGCAGCCGCGGUAAUACGGAGGGUGCAAGCGUUGUUCGGAUUUACUGGGCGUAAAGGGCGUGUAGGCGGUUAGCUAAGUCAGAUGUGAAAGCCCUUGGCUUAACCAAGGAAGAGCAUUUGAAACUAGCUGACUGGAGUACAGGAGAGGAAAGUGGAAUUCCCAGUGUAGAGGUGAAAUUCAUAGAUAUUGGGAGGAACACCGGUAGCGAAGGCGGCUUUCUGGCCUGAUACUGACGCUGAGACGCGAAAGCGUGGGGAGCAAACAGGAUUAGAUACCCUGGUAGUCCACGCCGUAAACUAUGGGCACUAGGUGUAGGAAGUGUUGACCCUUUCUGUGCCGAAGCUAACGCAUUAAGUGCCCCGCCUGGGGAGUACGGUCGCAAGGCUA
rnacentral:rRNA from 1 species